AUACGUAGGGUGCGAGCGUUGUCCGGAUUUAUUGGGUUUAAAGGGAGCGUAGGCGGGAGCUUAAGUCAGCGGUUAAAUGGUGCGGCUCAACCGUGCCCCGCCGUCGAAACUGGGUUUCUUGAGAGUGCAAGAGGCGGAUGGAAUUCAUGGUGUAGCGGUGAAAUGCUUAGAUAUCAUGAAGAACUCCGAUUGCGAAGGCAGUCCGCUGGGGCACGUCUGACGCUGAUGCUCGAAGGUGCGGGAAUCAAACAGGAUUAGAUACCCUGGUAGUCCGCACGGUAAACGAUGAUUACCCGCUGUCGGCGGUAGACAGUCGGCGGCCAAGCGAAAGCGAUAAGUAAUCCACCUGGGGAGUACGGCCGCAAGGUUGAAACUCAAAGGAAUUGACGGGG
rnacentral:rRNA from 1 species